rnacentral:rRNA from 1 species
GUAUACAGGUGGUGCAUGGUUGUCGUCAGCUCGUGUCGUGAGAUGUUGGGUUAAGUCCCGCAACGAGCGCAACCCUCGUUCUGUGUUGCCAGCAUUUAGUUGGGGACUCACAGGAGACUGCCGGGGUUAACUCGGAGGAAGGUGGGGAUGACGUCAAAUCAUCAUGCCCCUUAUGUCUUGGGCUGCACGCAUGCUACAAUGGCUGGUACAAACGGCUGCAAUACCGCAAGGUGGAGCGAAUCCGAUAAAGCCAGUCUCAGUUCGGAUUGGGGUCUGCAACUCGACCCCAUGAAGUCGGAGUUGCUAGUAAUCGUAGAUCAGCAACGCUACGGUGAAUACGUUCCCGGGGCUUGUACACACCGCCCGUCACAUCACGAAGUCGGUAACACCCAAAGUCAGUGCCCAACCG